rnacentral:rRNA from 1 species
GGCGACCGGCGGACGGGUGCGUAACGCGUAUGCAACCUGCCUGACACAGGGGGAUAAUCCGAAGAAAUUUGGUCUAAUACCCCAUAAUACCGAUAUAGGCAUCUACGUUGGUUGAAAGCUUUGGUGGUGUCAGAUGGGCAUGCGUUGUAUUAGCUAGUUGGUGAGGUAACGGCUCACCAAGGCGACGAUACAUAGGGGGACUGAGAGGUUAACCCCCCCACACUGGUACUGAGACACGGACCAGACUCCUACGGGAGGCAGCAUG